CCCUUAGAUGUCCGGGGCCGCACGCGCGCUACACUGAAGGAAUCAGCGUGGCUUUCUCCCUGACCCGAAAGGGUUGGGAAACCCGUUGAAUCUCCUUCGUGAUAGGGAUUGGGGCUUGAAAUUGUUCCCCAUGAACGAGGAAUUCCCAGUAAGCGCGAGUCAUAAGCUCGCGUUGAUUACGUCCCUGCCCUUUGUACACACCGCCCGUCGCUACUACCGAUUGAACGGUUUAGUGAGGGCCUCGGAUUGGUCUCGGCCCGCUCUUUACCGGGCGGCGCCAUUGGUCGAGAAGACGCUCGAACUUGAUCGUUUAGAGGAAGUAAAAGUCGUAACA
rnacentral:rRNA from 1 species